UACGAAGGGGGCUAGCGUUGCUCGGAAUCACUGGGCGUAAAGCGCACGUAGGCGGAUCGUUAAGUCGGGGGUGAAAUCCUGGAGCUCAACUCCAGAACUGCCUUCGAUACUGGCGAUCUUGGAGUCCGGGAGAGGCGAGUGGAACUCCGAGUGUAGAGGUGAAAUUCGUAGAUAUUCGGAAGAACACCAGUGGCGAAGGCGGCUCACUGGCCCGGUACUGACGCUGAGGUGCGAAAGCGUGGGGAGCAAACAGG
rnacentral:rRNA from 1 species